rnacentral:rRNA from 1 species
UGAAGUCAGGCGGGACUACCC